CCUACGGGUGGCAGCAGUGAGGAAUUUUGCGCAAUGGCCGCAAGGCUGACGCAGCAACGCCGCGUGGGUGAUGAAGGCCUUCGGGUCGUAAAGCCCUGUCAGGUGGGAAGAAAGGCCUGGAGAGGAAAGGUUUCAGGUUUGACGGUACCACCAGAGGAAGCACCGGCUAACUCCGUGCCAGCAGCCGCGGUAAUACGGAGGGUGCGAGCGUUAUUCGGAAGUACGGGGCGUAAAACGCGUGUAGGCAGGGCCCUGGGCUUAACCUGGGAAGCGCAUUGGAAACUGUUUUUCUUGAGUACUGGAGAGGAAGGGGGAAUUCCCGGUGUAGAGGUGAAAUUCGAAGAGAUCGGGAGGAAUACCAGUGGCGUAGGCGCCCUUCUGGACGGUAACUGACGCUGAGACGCGAAAGCGUGGGGAGCAAACAGGAUUAGAUACCCUAGUAGUC
rnacentral:rRNA from 1 species